GGUCUCUCUGGGGAGAAAACGGGCAUGUCUGGCUCCUGUCCCUCGCCUGCCCUCCCUGCUGCUGGGCCUGCGGGCCUGGGAGUGGAGGGAUCCUGCCCCAGCUCUGGCCUCCACCCGCUGUGCGUCGCCGGGGUGGCCACGGCCCAGGCCACGCCAGGCAGGCCCUGCGCCUCCUCUCCCCGUCCUGACCGUCCGCCACUUCGCCCUGCUCCUGCUCUCCUGUGAUUUCUAGGUCCCCAGCGUGCUCGGCCCACGGCCCCGUUGGGACGGAGGAGAUCUGGGAAGUGGAAAGCACAGAGCCGGACGGAGAUGGGGACACAGCAGACCCAGGGACGACACGGCCGCUCUGGCCGGGGCUCAGGCCCGUGGACACCCCACCAGCCCCCAACAGCGGGCCCGGGACGGUCGUUCUGAGGUCCCACCUCCGCAGGCCCCAGCCAUGAGGCUGUGCUCCAGCCUGUGGGGACGUCCCUUGUGUAAGAGCCUGCCUCGUGUCCCCAUGGGGGAUCUUAUCGAACGCUCCGUUUCUCCUCACCUGGGGCCCCAGACUGUCACCUUGGGAGUGUCUCUGGAGUCCCCUCGGCUGUGCCGUCGUGAGGAGGUGAAGUGGGAAGACGGGGGUCUCUGAGGAAAAUGCACGAGACAUGGAUUCGGGAGGGGCGCACAGAGAGGAGGGGCCAGCUGGGGGUCCGGGAGGGCAGUGUGCGGGGCAGCAGACACCACACCCCCGAGGGGUUCUAAGGCUGGGGGAGGGACCACUGGGAGCCCAGCAGAUUCUAAGAGGAGAAGACCCAAGUGGGGUGUUGAUGCCAUGGACCCCCUCCUGCAGGGUCUCCCUCCUGCAGGGUCUCCUGGGACAGUCCCAUCACUCGUGAGCACCUGCGGCAACUGUCCCUCUGGCCGCCUUUCCAGCCUGGCCAGUAGACAGCAGGUGUCCCUGUCACCGGGGCUGGAGGGGGCGCCGCGUGGCUUCACUAAGUCCUGCCCACCCUCUCCAAAGGGCACCUUCCGCCGCCCUCUUCUAUUUUUCUGGUUCGGAUGUGCCAUCUGUUCUCUGCUGGGAAUUUGGCCAAACCUGCCUUUGCCUGACUCUCCUUCGGGGAGGGACUCAGACUGGCACCCUUUCCAUCCGCUCCCCGAGCAGAGGAUAACCUGACCCCCUCUUCCAAGAGUUCUCUGGGGACCAGAGCAGAGUAGGACCCUGCAGAACGACAUGCCGCCUCCCCCAGCUGGCCUGGGUUUCUGGCACCCGGACUGAAAGCAGCGGACCCAGGGCCUCAGCAGACGAGGGAAACUAAGGCCAAAACAAUUUGCAUUUCCUCAACCUACCGCCCAGGGACUGACAAGUCCUCGGAACAGGCAGAGCGACCUUCCUCUAGGGGUUCAGCGGCCUCGAUGCUGACACUUCGCGAAGGGCAACAAGCCAUUCUGGCCCGACCCCCAGGAUCCUGCUACGAUCCUCCUGCCCGCGGCUGCUCUACGGGACGGAAGGAGAAACCCUGCCGUUUCGCUGGAAGUCAGUCCCCGAGCCUGAACGUUCCCAAGGACUCUUCCUCGGGGAGCCUUCUAACCCCCCGGAAACCAUGUGGAUUGCGAAGUUGAGGAAAGGACUGAGCUCCUGUAGCCCCGCGUGGCCUCGGUGGGAUGUGGCGGUUCGUCUCUUCCGCAGGAAGCAGGGCGCAUGGGCGGGGAUGCUCUAGGGCAGCCUGCGGGCUCUGCAUCGGGACCCCGACCUAAGGGGCCUCUUGCAGAACAGGUUGGGUCAGGAACCGGGCUGGUAAAUUCCCUCCCUGCGUGGAGGAUGAUAAUGAUCUAAACAGGCCUGGUCCCGACAGGAUCCAGGUUGCUGGAGGAAACAGGGGCCGUGGUCCCGAGGAGGCGGACGGGGUCUCACGGUCCCUCCUCCUGACGGCUGUGGGGGCGUCUCCUGCAUUUCGCGGGCUGGCUGCAGUUAGAGCCAGCUGUGGGGCUGGACCCGGGGAUGGGGACUUGAAGGAGGUUUCCCAAGCAGCUGCCGAAACUCCCUCUGUGUCCGGGGAGUUUCCUGUCUUCUCCAGCCCGACCUGGACCACAGGUGUCCACGCUGGGGGACAAACAAACAGGGUGUCUGUUCGUCUGUCUGAGCCGAGGAGCUUUAGAACCAAGAAACCGCGUUCUCUGCCUUCUGGGGGCACGUGGCCUCCUCUCCAGCCCUCCCCCUCCCGUGUCUGCAUGGCCCGGGGGCCUCCUGCUUAACUGGCUUUGGGGCCCUCCUUGUUCGCCCCCCCCCCCCCCCCCCCCGCUGUGAGGAGCAGAGAGGAGGGUCAGCGCUUGACCCCGCCCACUCCGGAUUCCCCCCAGGGUCCCAGGGAAAAACCACAGAGGGCAGCAAACUGAUUGGCUUUUAAGUAGGUGUUUUAAUCUGCUUGACUGUCCUGCACCCGUCACGCAAUCAGGUUUUUGUCCACGCACCUGUCUAACUACAGGUACUUGUUCACGUGGGAAGGGCGGCAGGCUCCUUCCCAGAUGGUGUUUAAUAGAAUCGGGUUCAAGAGGUCGGGGGCCCCCACCCCCUAAAGCAUGCUGGCCGGCCAGGAGCCCCCAGGUCAAGCUCUUCAUUUAGCUGUCCCACUGUCCGCAGAGCUGACACCCCCCUUCCCCACCCCGGACGUGGUUGAGACCCCCGAGGCCAUUCCCUUCCUUCUGUCACAUACCAGUUGUAAGUCUUCCCCACAGGAAGACUUUAGAUGGGGCACGGGGUAAGCUGAGGAAAGCUUAGAAUACCAGGACGGGGUCCUUCCCAUUUUAAAGGUAGUUUCCCCCCCCCCGGGAUAGAGGGUCCUUGUCUCUGCCGACCUUUCUUCUGGUCGAGUUCCAUCAAUGUUCCAUGAUUGUUCAUCAGUGUUCCACCAAGGCUUGCCCAAGGUCGGAUAAGCUCCUGAUCUCUGUUGCAACUUAUUAGCAAAAAAAGUGACAUAAGGGCCCUGGGUGGCUCAGUGGAUUAAGCCUCUGCCUUCAGCUCGGGU